AGAGUUUGAUCCUGGCUCAGAACGAACGCUGGCGGCAUGCCUAACACAUGCAAGUCGAACGCUUGCCCGGCUUCGGCCGGGCGGGAGUGGCGCACGGGUGAGUAGCGCGUGGGAACCUGCCCUGUUGUGGGGGAUAACCGAGGGAAACUUCGGCUAAUACCGCAUGCGCCCGGGGAAACCCGGGGAAAGAUUUAUCGCAGCAGGAGGGGCCCGCGUCGGAUUAGCUAGUUGGUGGGGUAACGGCCCACCAAGGCUGUGAUCCGUAGCUGGUCUGAGAGGAUGAUCAGCCACACUGGGACUGAGACACGGCCCAGACUCCUACGGGAGGCAGCAGUGGGGAAUAUUGGACAAUGGGCGCAAGCCUGAUCCAGCAAUGCCGCGUGAGUGAUGAAGGCCUUAGGGUUGUAAAGCUCUUUCGCCCGCGACGAUGAUGACGGUAGCGGGAGAAGAAGCCCCGGCUAACUUCGUGCCAGCAGCCGCGGUAAUACGAAGGGGGCGAGCGUUGUUCGGAUUUACUGGGCGUAAAGGGCGCGUAGGCGGCCCUUCUGGUCGCGUGUGAAAGCCCCGGGCUCAACCUGGGAAUGGCGCGCGAAACGGGGGGGCUUGAGUUCGGGAGAGGAGCGUGGAAUUCCCAGUGUAGAGGUGAAAUUCGUAGAUAUUGGGAAGAACACCGGUGGCGAAGGCGGCGCUCUGGACCGAGACUGACGCUGAGGCGCGAAAGCGUGGGGAGCAAACAGGAUUAGAUACCCCAGUAGUCC
rnacentral:rRNA from 1 species